AGCAGCCGCGGUAAUUCCAGCUCCAAUAGCGUAUAUUAAAGUUGUUGCAGUUAAAAAGCUCGUAGUUGAAUUUCGGGAUCAAAGGAUCGGUCAUGCCUUGGUAUGUACUGGUUUUAUUGGUUCUCACCUUCUAAAGAACCAUAAUGUCAUUCAUUUGAUGUUAUGGGGAAUUAGGACUGUUACCUUGAAAAAUUAGAGUGUUUAAAGCAGGCUUACGCUUGAAUACAUUAGCAUGGAAUAAUGAAAUAGGACAUCAGAUUCUAUUUUGUUGGUUUCUAGGAUCGAUGUAAUGAUUAAUAGGGAUAGUUGGGGGCAUUAGUAUUCAAUUGUCAGAGGUGAAAUUCUUGGAUUUAUUGAAGACUAACUACUGCGAAAGCAUUUGCCAAGGAUGUUUUCAUUAAUCAAGAACGAAAGUUAGGGGAUCGAAGACGGUCAGAUACCGUCGUAGUCUUAACCAUAAACUAUGCCGACUAGGGAUCGGAUGAUGUUAAUUUUAUAAUGACUCAUUCGGCUACCG
rnacentral:misc_RNA from 1 species